AUUCGAAAAACUUAAUAAUUAAUUACAAAUAUAGGUUGUCAUACGUCAGGAUUUCCCCUGACAUAUCAGGAUUGUUGGUACUUUGUCAGGAUUGCGGGGUGACUUGACGAGUGACAGGGUUUUUAGAAACCUUAACUAACCACUAGAAGCUAGCUAAAAGUUUAGAGUUAUAGCAGAGGAAAGAGAAGUUAUGCUACUAGUUACAGAGUUAAGAGGCUAGUGACCCACGAAAGGGUUUCGGAGAGACAAGGCAUUUAAUCGGUGGAUUUUUGAAGAAAUUACCGUGGAGGUAACGUCAGGAUUUUACUGGUGAUGACUUGACUUAUGUCAGUAUAUUCCAUUUCCUUCAUAUGUAAACCCUAGCCGAUGGUCAGUUUAUUUAUUUAUUUAAACUUUAUUGCACAAACAAAGAAAAAUGUACAAAUGGCGGACUUAAUGCCAAAAGGCAUUCUCUACCAGUCAACCAUUGGGUCAAACAGAGACAUAUAUGUUGGUGCAGAAGAUAUUAAUAAAUUAUUUAACCGAAAAACUAAAUAUUAUACAUACAGUUUACAGUGUUUCUAGUGGGUACUAUGGCCGACAUUUGUUACCAGAGCAGUCUUAAACAGUACUACAAUAUCAUCGGACCUACAAAUAGUUACAGUUGUGUGCAAUAUAAUAGCAAUAAGUAUAUAAUAAAAUUAGGGGAAAACUAUAACUUUGGAUCAAUUAUAUUGGAUCUUUUUUUAUUAUAUUAUUCUGCAUUACUUCACAUUGUUUCAAAAUUAACUGUAUCCCUUAACCAAUGAAUGAUUUCGACUUGAUUGGUUAUCUGUAUGGCUAAUUAUAUAAAACAUAAAAUAGAAUAAAUUAGCAUGGGAAAAUAUGUCCAAAAUGUAGCCUAGUAAACAGAUUACGCAAUUCAUUACAGCCUAAAAAAAAUUGUCCGACCACGCUAAGUUUUCAUGCCAAGUGCUACGACAAGUAUGGAGUUUCUAUGGGAUAUGUUGGGAUUUGUGUACAUCGACGUCGUCGUCGUACGUAACGUUUAGGCGCUUAAUUUAUACGAUUUUUCAGUAAAUAUUUAUGCGAAAAUGUAAUUACUCUACCCUAGAUGUCACACUACGAGCCUACAACGCAACGUCGAAGGAUUUGCCAAGCUCACUGCAACACGCUUUAAUAACAGCAAGAGCGAAAAACCGGAUAGCUGGCGCAAGCGAUAUUUUAGGAGAGCAACAAGCUACUCUGGAGUAACAACGCAAUAUGUUGUCAUUCUCGAGGUUAACCAAAUCAACAACAACGGCAACGUCACACAGGUACCUAUAUCUAUACUACUUCGAAAUUAAACAAAACAAUUAUGGGCAGGUAAACAUUCGCUGAUACAAUUUUUUGCCGCCGUUUGUAUGGAAAAUGGUGAAAAAUAACUUUUACUGAAUGAUUGGUGUAUUUACAGCUAUGCUAAAAAUAGGUUGCUGAUACAUAAAAACUUCUUAUUACAGGAUUUUUCUUCUUCUACUUCUUAUAUACUCGUGGCAUGUUGUUUGGCGUGGCGUAAGAACUGAUUGCGUAUAGAGUUCAUACAUACUAUUUUGGAAAAAUUAAAAUGUAUUUUAUUAGGCAAAAUAGUCUUUUAUAUAUUUUUUAAAGAAACAGGCAUUGUUAUUACAAAAUAAAAAGAAAUCUUUUGAA